CAAACGUACACACGCGACGACCUGCGAACUGUGCUAUACAAACUUGUGAGUGUGCUCACAGAUGAAGUUUGAAGAGUGAAAAUAUAAAAAUGAGUUCCAAGAGCUUCCGCAUGGAUGAUUUUCUUGCAGGAUGGGUUGGAGGGGCGUCCAGUGUGGUGGUUGGACAUCCUUUGGACACUGUCAAGACGCGAUUGCAGGCUGGAAAAGGCUACAAGAACAUGAUGGACUGCAUUAUCACCAUCUACAGGAAGGAGACGGCGUGGGGCUUCUUCAAAGGCAUGUCCUUCCCCCUGGCCACCAUCACGGCGUACAACUCGCUGGUCUUUGGUUUCUACAGCAACUCGCAGAGAGUCAUCUGCAAGCGUCGCUACGGCGACGAGCGCCACCCCGCCAGCCUGAGCGACGUGGCGGUGGCCAGCAUGCUGACCGGCCUGGUGUCGGUCGGGUUGGGCGCCCCCAUCGACUUGGUCAAGAUCCGGCUGCAAAUGCAGACGCACGCCGCCGUGCUAGCGGAGAGCUUUCAGCUCGCGGGCGGCGUUUCACACAACAUGGCAGCGGCAGCACCGGUGGGGACGCGUUCCUUGCAUGUGUCCAAUGGCGGCGGAGGCGGCAGCAGCAGCAGCGUUUACCGUGGGCCGCUCCACUGCAUUAGCAGUGUCAUGCAGCGCGAGGGCCUCCAGGGCUUGUACCGUGGGGGUGGAGCCAUGCUCCUCAGAGACAUCCCCGGCUACGCCCUCUACUUUGUGCCCUACGCCAUCUUCUGCAAACUCCUCAAACCAGAUGCUGCCACGGCACCACACCCCUGCGCUAUCUGGCUGGCUGGCGGACUCGCAGUCCCCCAGCCAUCUUCUGGAAUCCACUGGACAAAUCACGUGCCGCAUCGCUUUGUUUACUCAAAAGACAAAAACGUGGGCUACUUUCAGGUUCCAUUUCCUGGGUGACAGCCACGCCUGCUGACGUAGUGAAGAGUCGCCUGCAGGCGGACGCUCACCUACACCGGAAGUAUAACGGCGUCCUUCACUGCAUCCUGCACAGCUACAAGACAGAAGGAGUCCAGGUGUUCUUCCGCGGUGUGUCUGUCAACGCCAUCCGAGGCUUCCCUAUGAGCGCCAUCAUGUUCUUGGGAUAUGAGCUCUCACUGCAGUUCUUCCAGAGCUUGUAGAAGCAAAGGUGUUGCCGUGGCGACGCUACGUUUUUGUGGUUGCGUCAGAGAUGAGAGUUCAAAAAUUGCUCAGCUUUGUUAGUUUGACUGCGCACUAAAGCGGAGAGGCUACCCUAGGUUAGCUUUAGCACAAAUGCUUAAUAAGGUUACAAUUGUCAAAUGGGUUCCACCCUUUUACGUUUGAUGUCUUUGAACGACAAGCGUUGUCACUGCAGAAAAAAAAUUGAGCAUUAGCUAGUCAAUGUAGAAGGGUCUGAAGAACAAUGUAAGAUAAUGUAAAUAGUUUUUGUUUUUUAUAUUAAGAAAAACUUAUUUUCAUAUUCACAUGAUAUGUUUCCAGCACAACUGUACAGUCUCCAUGUAUCAAACAAUAUACUAUGUAUAUAAAACAAAGCAGCUUCAUUGAACUAGGUGCAUUCCCACAUAAAUCACAAGCACAUAUAUUUGUUUUGUAUAGUAAAUAUUUUUGUAUUCCAGUAUAUCGUUGUACUGAAAUAAAAUCUAUCUUUUAGAAGA